rfam:Macrostomum lignano uti_cns_0013930, whole genome shotgun sequence.
AAAACGGCCCUUUUAAGGGCUAUAUAUUAAUGUAGCCAUUAAUGU